rnacentral:rRNA from 1 species
UACGGAGGAUCCGAGCGUUAUCCGGAUUUAUUGGGUUUAAAGGGAGCGUAGGCGGGAAGUCAAGUCAGCUGUGAAAUGUAGAUGCUCAACGUCUGCACUGCAGUUGAAACUGGUUUUCUUGAGUGCGUAAGAGGCAGGCGGAAUUCGUCGUGUAGCGGUGAAAUGCUUAGAUAUGACGAAGAACUCCGAUCGCGAAGGCGGCUUGCCGGGCCGCAACUGACGCUGAAGCUCGAAGGUGCGGGUAUCGAAC